AAAUUCAGUAUUUCAAGUUGAGGUUAGGUUAUGAUUGCCAUUUAGUGUAUAGCCAUUACAGUAAUAUUUUUAAAAGUAAAUUAAUUGGUAUUCUGUAACUUGUUUGAUGUCUGUUUGAAUAGAUUUAAAGCAGCUUUUGUUGCACAUUAAGGCGUGCUAAUGUUUGUUUUAUUUAUUUUCUUCAGAAACUUCACAUUGCACUGGAUCAGAUAGACUUGGGUGCCUUAUGUUUUGGACCUUCUCUUCAGAAGCCAUGUUGUUCCAAGUUGCCAUUGCCCCUGAUGACAUUAGAAGAGUUUCACUUGAAAGCCUUCAAGAGACAGUACAGGAGCUGGUCACCAUAUUGCACAAAGAGCUGAGGUUUGAAAGUGUUUUGGUCCUGCAAUUUGAAGACCCGGCUUUCCAAAAUGAACUUUGUAACUUAACCAACAUAUCCGACGUGCCUGAAGGGAGAUAAUACAGAAGACCACUGCUCUGUUUUCAGUUGACUGCCAGCUCUCUGACUCUUCUUUAGACACUGCCAGCUUAGGCACCUCUUCAAAAGACUCACCUUGCAGUCAUCUGCGAGAGUGGCCAGAUCCAUUUGUCAUUCCAACUUUCUCCUCUGACGUUGAACUCAAACUCAAGCAAGUGAAUGAAUCUUAUUUAAAUAAUGGCUCCCUCUUAAAUGUAUCAAAAGACAUGAAAACUGACAUUCUUGACAAGUUGGCAGAGUCUAUGUAUGCCAUCAAGGCAUAUCCAAGUGGAGAGCAAUAUAAUGCUGUUGCAAAAGCCCUGAUAGAGAAGCAUCCAUGUUUGAAAGCCUGGGUCAUCAUGUGAAUGGUAUGGAUGGAAGUUCAGCCUGAAAUUUAAAGUGGGAAAUUUCAGGCAGAAAUUACGCAUUGCUGGAUGUUCAGAGCUCACUGUUAACAGGCAGAAAAGGUCAGCAUUGGGGGAAAAAAACUAGAAUGGUGAAGAAGCCUAAAAAAUCAGAGGUGAAUUUUCUGCCUGACUGUCCUCUGGGAAAAAGUUUUAACAGUCUUGAAACAGAAAGAAGUACAUUGGAGUUUGAAAUAAAGAAAAGAGUGGUGGAGUGGAAGCAAGUUGAUGCCCUUAUGGACAGUACAUUUUCUUUGAGGUGAAAGGAAGUGAUUGAGGAAGAGCCCUUGGUGAAAGACGUGAUGAUCAGGUGGCCUUCUUUGUUUACGGAAAGACAGAUUGCAGCAGAAUUUCAACAAAUAGUAUCUGCAGACAUUAAGAAAACCUUUUUGAUGGUCUUGACAAAUAUCUACCAGGAUUGUUGAGGCUGUAUCAUGCAAGACACUCAGGAAUUGAAGAACUCAGAAGCCUUGUCCAGUCUGUUGAUGUUGAUAACUCAAACCAGCGUAAGAGAGCCGUGGUCCUCCUUGACCUUCCUACUUUCCUCAGAGAGAAGUCUACCAAGCUUGUCAAGAUCUAUGAGGUACAUGGGCAUAUCCUCCAUGCUGUCUGCUUUCUCCAUUGUUAAAUGUGUCACAUGUAUAUGGUGUCUGCGCUCAGCUUUGAUUGUUUUUAUGAGGGAAUUGGUGGUGAACAUUUUCUUCUUUGGUAUGACACAGUUUGGUAGAUCAGGCUAGACAGUGUUUUAUCACUGAAUCUGGAAGCAGCUCAUUUGGGGUUUUCUCCUUAGUUUCUAACCUGCCUAGACAUGCAGUUUGACAGGUUUGCGUAAUAAGCUUGCUUUUAAAUCAAGUAGCAGAUUAGACAUACAG